AUGAACGUUGGCGGCGUGCCUUAUGCAUGCAAGUCGCACGAUCUAAUACCCCGCAAGGGGUGCUAGAGAGUGGCAAACGGCUGAGUAACGCGUAAGCGACCUACCCCCAAGCGGGGAAUAACUCUGAGAAAUCGGGGCUAAUACCGCAUGUGGUAGCAGGGGUGAAGUCCUGCUACUAAAGCCGCAAGGCGCUAGGGGAGGGGCUUGCGUCCUAUCAGGUAGUUGGUGAGGUAACGGCCCACCAAGCCGAUGACGGGUAGCUGGUCUGAGAGGAUGGUCAGCCAGAAGGGCACUGAGAUACGGGCCCUACUCCUACGGGAGGCAGCAGCAGGGAAUCUUGCGCAAUGGGCGAAAGCCUGACGCAGCGACGCCGCGUGGAGGAUGAAGGUCUUCGGAUUGUAAACUCCUUUUCUCGGGGAAGAAUAAUGACGGUACUCGAGGAAUAAGUCACGGCUAACUACGU
rnacentral:rRNA from 1 species